rnacentral:rRNA from 1 species
UACGAAGGGAGCUAGCGUUGUUCGGAAUCACUGGGCGUAAAGCGCACGUAGGCGGAUUUGUCAGUCAGGGGUGAAAUCCCGGGGCUCAACCUCGGAACUGCCUUUGAUACAGCAAGUCUUGAGUUCGAGAGAGGUGGGUGGAAUCCCUAGUGUAGAGGUGAAAUUCGUAGAUAUUAGGAAGAACACCGGUGGCGAAGGCGGCCCACUGGCUCGAUACUGACGCUGAGGUGCGAAAGCGUGGGGAGCAAACAGG